rnacentral:rRNA from 1 species
AGCCGCCGCGGUAACACCGGCAGCUCUAGUGGUAACAAUUUUAUUGGGCCUAAAGCGUCCGUAGCCGGUUUAAUAAGUCUCUGGUGAAAUCCUGUAGCUUAACUGUGGGAAUUGCUGGAGAUACUAUUAGACUUGAGACCGGGAGAGGUUAGAGGUACUCCCAGGGUAGAGGUGAAAUUCUGUAAUCCUGGGAGGACCGCCUGUUGCGAAGGCGUCUAACUGGAACGGUUCUGACGGUGAGGGACGAAAGUUAGGGGCGCGAACCGGAUUAGAUACCCGGGUAGUCCUAACUGUAAACGAUGCGGACUUGGUGUUGGGUGGCUUUGAGCUGCUUCAGUGCCGAAGGGAAGCUGUUAAGUCCGCCGCCUGGGAAGUACGGUCGCAAGACUGAAACUUAAGGAAUUGGCGGGGGAGCACCACAACGCGUGGAGCCUGCGGUUUAAUUGGAUUCAACGCCGGACAUCUCACCAGAGGCGACAGCUGUAUGAUAGCCAGGUUGAUGACUUUGCCUGACUAGCUGAGAGGUGGUGCAUGG